GAUGAACGCUGGCGGCGUGCCUAAUACAUGCAAGUCGAGCGAACGGACGAGAAGCUUGCUUCUCUGAUGUUAGCGGCGGACGGGUGAGUAACACGUGGAUAACCUACCUAUAAGACUGGGAUAACUUCGGGAAACCGGAACUAAUACCGGAUGAUAUUUUGAACCGCAUGGUUCAAAAGUGAAAGACGGUCUUGCUGUCACUUAUAGAUGGAUCCGCGCUGCAUUAGCUAGUUGGUAAGGUAACGGCUUACCAAGGCAACGAUGCAUAGCCGACCUGAGAGGGUGAUCGGCCACACUGGAACUGAGACACGGUCCAGACUCCUACGGGAGGCAGCAGUAGGGAAUCUUCCGCAAUGGGCGAAAGCCUGACGGAGCAACGCCGCGUGAGUGAUGAAGGUCUUCGGAUCGUAAAACUCUGUUAUUAGGGAAGAGCAUAUGUGUAAGUAACUGUGCACAUCUUGACGGUACCUAAUCAGAAAGCCACGGCUAACUACGUG
rnacentral:rRNA from 1 species